rnacentral:rRNA from 1 species
CCCUUAGAUGUUCUGGGCCGCACGCGUGCUACACUGAGUGGAUCAGCGGGUCAGGUUGCGCGAAAGUGUUUCCUAAUCUUGAAAUCCGCUCGUGAUGGGGAUUGACGGUUGCAAUUUUCUGUCAUGAACGAGGAAUACCUUGUAAGCGCGGGUCAUCAUCCCGCGCUGAAUACGUCCCUGCCCUUUGUACACACCGCCCGUCGCUCCUACCGAUUGGGUGUGCUGGUGAAAUGUUCGGAUCGGCCGUUUGUCGCGGUUUCCGCGUCAUGUGGCUGAGAAGUUCAUUAAACCCUCCCACCUAGAGGAAGGAGAAGUCGUAACA